CGGUUAGCAAGCGAUGAGGCGCGCCCCUCCACCGGCGGGACUGCGCGGAGUCGUCGCGCCUCGGCUGCGAGUCAGGACUGAGGCUGUCCCCCUCCCGCCUCCCUCAGGGGCCCUGGCGCGGGUGCCUCCAGGUUCCACCCCUCACCUGCCCCUUGGUGUCGGGCCGGGACCCUGGAGAGGUCGUGAGGGAGUCCUGGGCGCGGGCUCCGGGAGGCUGCGGCGCGGGUCUGAGGUAAAUGGCCCGCCCGCUGCGGGCCCUUGCGGGGGCUGGUUCCAGCAGCAACCGCCGGGCAGGGCCCCUCCCGACCGCGACCUCCUGUCCGCACCGUAGGGCAGCCGGCCGGGCCAGCCUCCCUCACAGGACUACCGAGGAAGAGAUAGGAUUUCACUCUGUCACCCAGGCGGUACUGCAGUGGCGCGAUCAUAGCGGGGACUACAAGUGUGCACCACAUGCUUGUCUACGAACCUGAAGUAUUCUGAUGCAGUGGAGAGAGUGUAGAUCUCUGGAGUGAAGAGAUCUGCCUGGAACCCUGACUCUAUCACUAGGUAUGAAUUUCCUUAUGGCUGCCCCAGGACUGGAUACUGGAUGCCAUUCAACAAAUACUGGAGAUUCCUUGGAAUGAAACCAAUGGGAGUCCAGGGUUUGGGAGAGUCUCAUCAGAGCAGAUGGGCCAGCAGCAGCCAGAAUGCUUGUUGCCUUUGGCUGAGAACGCUAUCCUGGAUCUGAAUGUCUUAUCAGGACCUGAAGUAGGUGGCUGCCCAUCCAGGUAUUCUACAGGCACUUGCCCAUGAAACCUUCACCACUCCUUGAAUCUGGUUCUGCAAAGUGGGACAGCUGAGACUUAGGCUAAGUGACUUACUGAGGCAGCAGUCAGCACCGUGUGGGACCAGCCCCCAUGCUGUUUCCCAAAUGGAGGCACCUUCCUGCAUACCUUGGGCGUGAUCUGUAACAGCUCAGAAAGCUUGGACACCAGCAGGGUGGCACCUGUAUGGGGAGCACCUGUCCGCACUGUCUGCAUUCAAUAAGCGUUCAUUUCAUCACCCUUCACCAUGCUUUGUCACUCCAAGAGAUGGCCCUGGGACUGAGAAGUAGAUGGCAGCUGUGACAGCAGG